GAGGAGGGCUGAGAGGCACUAAGUACUGCUAAUAAUUAUAUCCAUGGUUAAACUCCAUGGCCUCCUUA
rnacentral:tRNA from 1 species